GAUGAAGAACGUAGCGAAAUGCGAUAAGUAAUGUGAAUUGCAGAAUUCAGUGAAUCAUCGAAUCUUUGAACGCACAUUGCGCCCGCCAGUAUUCUGGCGGGCAUGCCUGUCUGAGCGUCAUUUCAACCCUCAUGCCCCUAGGGCGUGGUGUUGGGGAUCGGCCAAAGCCCGCGAGGGACGGCCGGCCCCUAAAUCUAGUGGCGGACCCGUCGUGGCCUCCUCUGCGAAGUAGUGAUAUUCCGCAUCGGAGAGCGACGAGCCCCUGCCGUUAAACCCACAACUUUCCAAGGUUGACCUCAGAUCAGGUAGGAAUACCCGAUGAACUUAAGCAUAUCAAUAAGCGGAGGA
rnacentral:misc_RNA from 1 species